GUACAGCCUACAUUUUGCUGCUGCCACAUCAGUUGCGUUCUCACACACAAGCAGCAGAAGAGCUAUUUUGGGUGAUGCCUAAUGCUACCACAACUAAUAUAUGCCGAGGAAUGAAACAUAAAAUUAAUCAUGCUAACGUAGCUAAUUGAUAUAACAUAAUAAAUAUUUGGAUCAUGCCUGAAAGAAGAUGAGCACCCACAAUGAGCUCAAACUCAUCCAGGCCCAAAUAAGGCUUGGAGACUUAGAAUGAUUAAGCCCAUUAUGGCUAGUUUCAAUUUGAACAAAAAACCACCAACAUGGGUGCAGUUUUUAUCACUUCCUUUACAUGAAGAAGUGGAAGAGGAAGUAUAUGAGGCAGCCAGAUAAGGAGAUCAAGGUUGCAGUCUUGAAAAUUGAAACAAAACGUGUUUUGGCUUGGCUACAUUGCUGGGUGUUUGCAUUGGCAGUAGGUGGUUCAACUUGGUACCAUUUUUUGAAAGCUCUAUCUCAAGUUAUUUGUUUCUCAAGCUUUGUGGAGAUUCACUGCAGGUCCAGAUAACUCUUAGACCGUGAAUGAUGUCUAUGGUUGGUUCAUGCAAUAUGUGAUCAUUGCUUAGACUAGCAGUGCAAGGUUGAGUUCUAUGGUUUAUAAGCAUGAUAUCCUUUGAUCAUGGCUUUAAAAAUUCAAACAAUAUCAAAGAACGAACUGUGAAUUGUAUACCUGAGGUCAUAGCAAGAUGUAUAUCCAGCUGUUGUUCCCGCAAAUACUAGAUGAGAACAGGGGUUGAAACACAAAGUCUUUAUU
rnacentral:misc_RNA from 1 species